UACGUAGGGACCAAGCGUUGUCCGGAAUCAUUGGGCGUAAAGCGCGCGUAGGUGGCCAUUUAAGUCCGCUGUGAAAGUCAGAGGCUCAACCUUUGAAAGCCGGUGGAUACUGGAUGGCUAGAGUACGGAAGAGGCGAGUGGAAUUCCUGGUGUAGCGGUGGAAUGCGCAGAUAUCAGGAGGAACACCAAUAGCGAAGGCAGCUCGCUGGGACGUUACUGACACUAAGGCGCGAAAGCGUGGGGGAGCAAAACGGGG
rnacentral:rRNA from 1 species